CGGUCCUAAGGUAGCGAAAUUCCUUGUCGGUUAAAUACCGACCUGCAUGAAUGGCGUAACGAGAUGGGAGCUGUCUCAACCAGAGAUUCAGUGAAAUUGUAGUGGAGGUGAAAAUUCCUCCUACCCGCGGCAAGACGGAAAGACCCCGUGGACCUUUACUACAACUUAGCACUGCUAAUGGGAAUAUCAUGCG
rnacentral:rRNA from 1 species